GGACGCCUAGCUCAGUUGGUUAGAGCACCUCGUUUACACCGAGGGGGUCGGGGGUUCGAGCCCCUCGGCGUCCACCA
rnacentral:tRNA from 1 species